UCUUUCACGUUUCCUUGUCACUUGUUCGUCUCGUCUAAUAUAAAGAACUGGACGGAGAACUGAUAAGGGCUUGUGGGUGA
rnacentral:pre_miRNA from 1 species